rnacentral:rRNA from 1 species
GACGAACGCUGGCGGCGUGCUUAACACAUGCAAGUCGAGCGGUAAGGCCCUUUCGGGGGUACACGAGCGGCGAACGGGUGAGUAACACGUGGGUGACCUGCCCUCAGCUCUGGGAUAAGCCUGGGAAACCGGGUCUAAUACCGGAUAUGACUCCAUGACGCAUGUUGUGGGGUGGAAAGCCUUGUGCGGCUGAGGAUGGGCCCGCGGCCUAUCAGCUUGUUGGUGGGGUGAUGGCCUACCAAGGCGACGACGGGUAGCCGGCCUGAGAGGGCGACCGGCCACACUGGGACUGAGACACGGCCCAGACUCCUACGGGAGGCAGCAGGUGGGGAAUCUUGCGCAAGUGGGCGAAAGCCUGACGCAGCGACGCCGCGUGA